GUUUCGCUCUUGUUGCCUAGGCCGGAGGGCAGUGGCACUAUCUCAGCUCAUUGCAACCUCCACCUCCUGGGUUCAAGCAAUUCUCCUGCCUCAGCCUCCCAAGUGGCUGGGAUUACAGGCGCCUGCGACCAUGCCCAGCUAAUUUUUGUAUUUUUAGUAGAGACAGGGUUUCACCAUGUUGGCCAGGCUGGUCUCGAACUCCUGACCUCAAGUGAUCGGCCCACAUCGGCCUCCCAAAGUGCUGGGAUUACAGGCGUGAGCCACCACACCCGGCCUCCUAACUGAUGUUUCAGUUUGGAUCUGAAGAACGGGAAUUUUCAUAAUUUCUUUUUCAAGGUUUUUGAGAAUUAGUUUGUUGCCAUUUCCGAACUUCCAUCCCAUUGUGAUGUGCAUAACCAGUCGGCUUCCUUAGCCUCAUCCUCCACCCAGGGAAGCUCCGACCACGCCAGCACCAGGAAGGCCAGCCGGGGAGCAGCCUGGCCCAGGGGUCAGGAGCCGGGGCCUGUGUGACUGGGGCCUGUGUGGCUGGCACCUGGUGGAUGUGAGCCCCAGGACAGGGAGUUUCUGUGCCCAUGAGAUGGAAGCAGCUCACUUCUUGGCCCCUUUCAAGAAUCUGGGAAGAGCUCCAGGAGUCAGAGGUCUGGGUGCCAGUCCCAGCUCUGCUCCAAACUGGCCGUGUGACCUCAGCGAAGUUAUUUCCCAGUUUUGUUUUCUUCUUUUACAAAAUGACAGGGUGAGAGUCGUGAUUGGUUUUCUUAGUGUCAGAAGUGCUGAACUCUGUUAGAAAGCGUCUCAGGUUGUUUUGUUUGACAGUGACUACCCACUUUGCAGAGACCUGGGCUGCCCGCUCUCUGGGGAAUACUGGAGGUUAUGCCCCAUCUCCUGUCCUGUGGGAGAACCCACCCUCCGAACGAGGCUCUGGUGAGGUUUUCACAAUCAGUAACAAGGCCGAUCUCCAUCAAUGGAAGUCUCCCCGUUUGAGAUGGGGUGUGUGCUCCUUACCCAGGCUCCUGAACAAAACCCACCUCCUUGUCUUGGCACCACUGAGAGUGCACACCGAGGGGGCUCCAGCACCAGAUUGUGGGAACAGUCACGAGAAAGCAGCUCAGACUUCACACCCAGAGCCCUUGAUCCCUACACACCCAGUAUUCCUUCACAGCGCUCUUCCUGCUUCCUGGACACGUGGAACUGCUUCUCCAUCGGGGAGGAUCCAUCCAGAGCCCUUUGGGUGGGUGCUCAGGGCAAUAGCUGCUGCCUCUUCCUUCUGCUCAGUGCUGGGAGGCGUUACACUUUCCCCAUAUGGCACGGAGCAGAACGUGCACCUUUGGCUCUGGAAGGAAUGAACAUCCUACCCGUUAGUUAGCCCUGGGAGUCACUGACUCGGUUCUUCCCUGGACACCAAUGUCCUAUGGAGCACACAGAAAGCCACGGAAGUGUGGUCUGCGGGUUGAGACGGACUCCGUUCAUGUGGAUAAGCAGAGGAAAUUUGGCAGAAACGACCAAAUGCAAAAUACGUGUAGCAGCCUGAGACCGGCCGUCUACUGAAACAAAGGAUGCAGUUCAGUCGGAAACCACGCUUAGCUGAGUAGCUGUCUUUAGCCAUCCAGGCCCUGAGAACCAAUGAACAACCCAGCUUGGCCGCUUAGAACAUUUUUUCUAUACUUGAGUUAAAUAGAUAUCCAAGAACCAUUACUCGUUUUUAAUGUGGAGAAGUCGGUAUUCUAUUCUCGUGUUCUAUGUUUUUUAAAGUGGCAAUUUGAAUUAUUUCGUGCGAUAGAAAACCUUAAACACAAAGUAACGUUUCUAACAAAAGGGCUGUCGAUCAAGUGACAAACACGUCCUACUUUUAGAUACAAGCACGACUGAGGCAACGGCACGAAGACGCCUAAAGUGGGCUGCUGGGGAGACAAGAUCUGGCCGCGAAUGGAACUCGCGGCAGCUCAUUAACGGGACCGUCCAGCAGGAAGGUGGGUUGGCAGCCUUCUCCCAGGGCUCCCCACGAUCCCUACCCCUGGUGUGGCGUGGCCUUCCUCCUCACAUGUCGUCUGGACCAAGCAGUGUGUUGUUCUCAUCCAUAAAGAGUGAUGGGCCGGGCACGAUGGCCACACCUGUGAUCCCAGCACUGUGGGAGGCUGAGGCGGGAGGAUCUCCUGAGCCCAGGAGUUUGACACCAGCCUGGGUAGCAUAGGGAGACCCUGUCUCUACAGAAAAAAAGUUAGCCAGGUAUUCCAGAGGCUGAGGUGGGAGGAUCGCUUGAACCCAGGAGGUGGAGACUGCAGUGAGCCGUGAUCGCACCACUGCACUCCAACCUGGGCAACAGACUGAGACCCAGUUUCUAAAACAAAUAAUAAAAAGGCAGGGUGCAGUGGCUCAUACCUGUAAUCCCAGCACGUUGGGAGGCCAAGGUGGGCGGAUCACUUGAGGUCAGGAGUUCGAGACCAGCUGGCCCACAUGGUAAAACCCCAUCUCUACUAAAAUGCAAAAAUCAACCGGGCACAGUGGCACACGCCUGUAAUCCCAGCUCUUCAGGAGGCCGAGGCAGGAGAACUGGGAGGCAGAGAUUGCAGUGAGCUGAGAUCGUGCCACUGCACUCCAGGCUGGGUGACAGAGCUAGACACCAUCUUGAAAAAAAAUAAAAGUUAAAUAAAAAGAGUGAUGAGGCAUCCUGAGAUUCAUUUAUAAAAUGCCGUGAUUCAGGUCUCAGGGCACUGUCGCCCCUACUCACUUUGAUGAAGCCAGUGCUGGGUUGCUGCUGAGGUGGGGAGGUUCAUGGGCCAGGAACUGAAGGCAGCCAUGAGAGCCAGACCCCUCCACCACCCCCAAGACAGCAGGGAACUCACUCCAACAGCCACCCUGGGAUGCUGCCACAGCUGAGCCUGGAGGUGACCGUGACCCUGGCUGACGUCGGACUGCAGCUUUGUAAGGGAGACUGAGCCGGGACCCAGACCUACAAAAGCUGAGAUGAUAAACACUGUUUUAAGCUGCUGUGUGUCGCAGUGACUCGUGUGGUAGUGGAUUUCUAGCAGAGCCGUCGUUCGUGUCUGCCUUCUCUCAGCUCAACACUCUGUAGGGCCACCCAUGCCGUUGUGCAUGUCAACGGUGGAUUUUUUAUUGCGAGUAAUAUUUCAUUCCAUUGCAUGCUCACACCUCGGUUUGUUUAACUGUCUACCUGUUGAUGAGCUCUGGGACAUAUGCAGUUCUGGGCUAUUAUGAGUAAAGCUGCUUUUAACAUUUAAAUACAAGUCUGUGUAUGGACACAUGUUUUCGUUUCUUUUGAAUAAAUAUGUG
rnacentral:lncRNA from 1 species